rnacentral:rRNA from 1 species
CUCAGUAACACGUGGAUAACCUGCCCUUAGGAUUGGCAUAACACCGGGAAACUGGUGAUAAUACCGAAUAGACCAUUUAUGCUGGAAUGCUUUUUGGUUCAAAGGCUUCGGCUGCCUAAGGAUGGAUCUGCGGCCUAUCAGGUAGUAGUGGGUGUAAUGUACCUACUAGCCUACGACGGGUACGGGUUGUGAGAGCAAGAGCCCGGAGAUGGAUUCUGAGACAUAAAUCCAGACCCUACGGGGUGCAGCAGGCGCGAAAUCUUUACAAUGCGGGAAACCGCGAUAAGGGGACACUGAGUGCCAGCAUAUUAUGUUGGCUGUCCACAUGUCUAAAAACCAUGUGUUAGCAAGGGCCGGGCAAGACCGGUGCCAGCCGCCGCGGUAACACCGGCGGCCCGAGUGGUGAUCACUUUUAUUGGGUCUAAAGGGUCCGUAGCCGGUUUAAUCAGUCUUCUGGGAAAUCUGACAGCUCAACUGUUAGGCUUUCAGGGGAUACUGUUAAGCUUGGGACCGGGAGAGGUAAGAGGUACUACAGGGGUAGGAGUGAAAUCUUGUAAUCCCUGUGGGACCGCCGGUGGCGAAGGCGUCUUACCAGAACGGGUCCGACGGUGAGGGACGAAAGCUGGGGGCACGAACCGGAUUAGAUACCCGGGUAGUCCCAGCCGUAAACGAUGUUCGCUAAGUGUCAGGGACGGUGCGACCGUUUCUGGUGCCGUAGGGAAGCCGUGAAGCGAGCCACCUGGGAAGUACGGCCGCAGAGGCUGAAACUAAAG